rnacentral:rRNA from 1 species
CCUACGAGCGGCAGCAGUGGGGAAUAUUGGACAAUGGGGGGAACCCUGAUCCAGCGACGCCGCGUGAGUGAAGAAGUAUUUCGGUAUGUAAAGCUCUAUCAGCAGGGAAGAAAGAAAUGACGGUACCUGACUAAGAAGCCCCGGCUAACUACGUGCCAGCAGCCGCGGGAAUACGUAGGGGGCAAGCGUUAUCCGGAUUUACUGGGUGUAAAGGGAGCGUAGACGGCGAUGCAAGUCUGAAGUGAAAGGCGGGGGCCCAAACCCUGGACUGCUGUGGAAACUGUAUGGCUGGAGUGCAGGAGAGGUAAGUGGAAUUCCUAGUGUAGCGGUGAAAUGCGUAGAUAUUAGGAGGAACACCAGUGGCGAAGGCGGCUUACUGGACUGUAACUGACGUUGAGGCUCGAAAGCGUGGGGAGCAAACAGGAUUAGAUACCCGGGUAGUC